rnacentral:tRNA from 1 species
GAUGCGGUAGCCGAGUGGUUCAGGCACCUGCCUGCAAAGCAGGGUACGGAGGUUCAAAUCCUCCCCGCAUCU